GUGUUGUCCAAAACUCUGUUUUCUAAUUCUUUGUAUUGAGCAAUUUCUAGGAAGAUGUUCUAACUGGAUACUAAUGAUCCGUUCUCACCCAUUCUCUCGUCUCAGUUUGGUGAUUUUUGUAACAUCAUUCUCUGGACCUCCUGAAUGAAGCUGUUUGGAAACAUCGACUUCUUUGGACCUAACAGAGCUUCUUUGAAGAAAGAGUCCUGAGGCUACAAAAUUUGAAAACUGCUGGAAUAAACGAUCGCCAAGGCCCCUUCCAGUCUGAGACGCUUGGUCUUCUGAAGCCCAGCUCAAGUUUUUCCUCCUCCAGAAAGCCUUUCUUGUUACCCAGUCCUGGGUACUUGAGCUCCAACAAUAAUGAUGAUGGCAGGCAUAUGGUGCCGUCCGUGAGCCAUCCGAUGCCUGCAUGUGUGCAUAAGCUGUCUCCCCAGCUAGAAGGAAAGCACAGGAGCCUGCUUCCAAAGAGGGACUGUCCCGUAAUUGAGAGAUGCUCCAAGGCUGACCAUCCUCCUUCUCCUGCUGCACACCCAGCAGCCAUCUAUGGCUGGAUUUGGAGAAUUUCUGGUCAAACCGUAGAGACGGGGUUUCACCGUGUUAGUCAGGAUGGUCUUGAUCUCCUCACCUCGUGAUCCGCCUGCCUCGGCCUCCCAAAGUGCUAGGAUUACAGGCGUGAGCCACCGCGCCCAGCCGAUCUUACUCACUCCUUAUAAAACCUCACAGAGGAGGUAUUUUCUUCAACUGAUAGAUUUGAAAACAGGUUCAGUGACAGAUGAAGAGCUGGUACUCAAACCCAGUUCUUCCGACUUGCAGUCCUGUGCUCUUUCUGCUGCAGUCGUCUGCUCUUUCUCUUGCCAGACAGAUUAUUGAGCACGUGCUGCACUCCUAAUUCCCAUCUUAGAGCCUUGGAACUUUCUCUUCCCUCUGCCUGGGUUGCUCUAUCCCCCCCGAUAACUGCAUGGCCCUCUUUUUUAUUCUGGUCUUGUUUCAACUAGUACUACCUCAGAGAAGCCUUUCCUGACUACUCUCUCUAAAAUAGUCACCCACCAGGUCUCAAUCUCCCUAUCUUGCUUUAUAUUUUUUUCAUAGCAUCUGUUGCAAUUGAAUAUUAUAUUAUAGAGUCG
rnacentral:lncRNA from 1 species